rfam:Bacillus wakoensis JCM 9140 DNA, contig:contig_28.
AGUGUAUAAAGAAAGAACCUUCGUAUAUCCUUAGGAAUAUGGCCUAAGAGUUUCUACCGGAUUACCGUAAAAAAUCUGACUAUGAAGGCAGAAGAACUAACU